rnacentral:rRNA from 1 species
GAUGAACGCUGGCGGCGUGCCUAAUACACGCAAGUCGAGCGAACAGACGAGGAGCUUGCUCCUCUGACGUUAGCGGCGGACGGGUGAGUAACACGUGGAUAACCUACCUAUAAGACUGGGAUAACUUCGGGAAACCGGAGCUAAUACCGGAUAAUAUAUUGAACCGCAUGGUUCAAUAGUGAAAGACGGUUUUGCUGUCACUUAUAGAUGGAUCCGCGCCGCAUUAGCUAGUUGGUAAGGUAACGGCUUACCAAGGCAACGAUGCGUAGCCGACCUGAGAGGGUGAUCGGCCACACUGGAACUGAGACACGGUCCAGACUCCUACGGGAGGCAGCAGUAGGGAAUCUUCCGCAAUGGGCGAAAGCCUGACGGAGCAACGCCGCGUGAGUGAUGAAGGUCUUCGGAUCGUAAAACUCUGUUAUUAGGGAAGAACAAAUGUGUAAGUAACUAUGCACGUCUUGACGGUACCUAAUCAGAAAGCCACGGCUAACUACGUG